rnacentral:rRNA from 1 species
UUAAGUCCGCAACCGAGCGCAACCCUCGACCUUAGUUGCCAGCAUUCAGUUGGGCACUCUAAGGUGACUGCCGGCUAAAAGUCGGAGGAAGGUGGGGAUGACGUCAAAUCAUCAUGCCCCUUAUGACCUGGGCUACACACGUGCUACAAUGGGCGGUACAAAGGGUCGCGAACCCGCGAGGGGGAGCCAAUCCCAAAAAGCCGCUCUCAGUUCGGAUUGCAGGCUGCAACUCGCCUGCAUGAAGCCGGAAUCGCUAGUAAUCGCGGAUCAGCAUGCCGCGGUGAAUACGUUCCCGGGCCUU